rnacentral:sRNA from 1 species
AAUAUACAAUAGAAAACUUCCUGACUUAAAUACAGUUCACUAGAAGGAAGCUUUAUACACGGUCGGAGGUUUCUUCAAACAAUUAGAUCGACUACUAACCAAUAAACCAACAGAAAGAAAAAAAAACAGAAAAUAGGGAAAAGAAACUUGAGACAGAUAUCACACACCGGCUAAAAGCAAGAAAAAGAACUAUUAUUAACAAUACGGAAAUGUUUGAUUUCUCCACUGCAAUAUGUGAUCAUCUCUGGAACUUUAUGGCUUCAGAUGAAGUGCUGAACCAAAAACUACUCAUUGCAAAGCCUCAAAAGCAACGAGACUGUCUUCUGGCAUUCCAUUGGAGGGGGAAAUUCUCAGAUUUCAAGUAUCGUCGACUUGAGAAUGGAAGACAAAGCUUGGAAAUGUAGUUGUGAUGUCCCUGCCAAAAUAUUGGAGUGUCAUGUUUUUCAGUAAAGAAGGAUGUCUGAGAACUAGAUUGCGCCAUUCUUCUUUAUCAAUUUUCCCAUCAUGUUUUGUGUCGGCCUCCUCAAAUGUCUUAUCAAUGAUGCUCUCUAUGACUUCAUCCGAAAGAUUCAUUCCCGACUCAGCAAGUGUUGCAACAACCAUUUGCUUAACCUAAUAGGCAAAAAAGGAAACAAUUAAGUAUAACAUAAAAAAGAUAGAAGAUCAUCAAUUUUCUCGUCGAGAGGUGCAUUUGGAUGAAAUACUGAGAGCGCACGGGCAAAUUCUUCGAAUCCUAAAAUACCAUUGUGUUUUGUAUCGAACAAAUCAAAUACCUGCAAGACAGGGAAAGAAAUGCACUCGUUGUUAGCAGAAAGCAAAUUAUCCCACUGACCUUGUUGAUCAGUCCGUCAUCGAUCACCGCGCUGCUGAUCUUCUUGAACAGCUCAUACAACGCCUCAACCUCGCUCACACUAAAGACGGUCUCCCUGGCGAGGAUUUCGGGAUCCUCGAGCCCCUUGGGCUGCUUGAGGUCGAGGUCGCAGCACUUGAGUAGCACGCCGCAGAGCUGCUUCACCCCCUCCAGACACUGCAACAUGGUACGCCUACUCUCUUACUCACCUACCCGCCACCACCAACCAUGCAUCGGCAGCAGCAGCAGCAGCCGCCGCCCGUCCCCGG